UACGAAGGGGGCUAGCGUUGCUCGGAAUCACUGGGCGUAAAGGGUGCGUAGGCGGGUCUUUAAGUCAGGGGUGAAAUCCUGGAGCUCAACUCCAGAACUGCCUUUGAUACUGAAGAUCUUGAGUUCGGGAGAGGUGAGUGGAACUGCGAGUGUAGAGGUGAAAUUCGUAGAUAUUCGCAAGAACACCAGUGGCGAAGGCGGCUCACUGGCCCGAUACUGACGCUGAGGUGCGAAAGCGUGGGGAGAAAACAGG
rnacentral:rRNA from 1 species